GUCUGGGUGGUGGUGGUGAGGUGUGUCUGGGUGGUGGUGGUGAGGUGUGUCAGGAUUACACAUAGAAUUAGACAAGUUAAAACAACUCUGUUAUCCUCACACAGCCACAGAUGGAUCAGCACUUGGUUUUAAUUGUUUUGUUAUUGAACCUUUAUUUUGACAGGGAGUCAUGCUGAGACAAAGGUCUCUUUUACACCUGUCUCAGUGGACUAAUCCAUUGAGGAGGCCGCGGGGGUGCCACGGUCCAAGAAAAAGUGGAGUGUGGCUAAGCUGCACAAGGCAUGUCGCUCUUCAGAAUGCACUUUCUCCUGCUAUUUCCUGUUUCAUAAGUUCAUUAUGUGCAUUGUUUGCUGUUCAUCAAUUCCCUUUUACAUAUAUCACCAGUAGUAGCCUACAUUUACCAUUAGUUCCCAUCAUUUCUAUAAUAAUUUGUUUGGUUAUUGUAAUUUCUGUUAAUGCAUUCAAUAUAUUAUUACAGUUGUUUACCGUUGUCAUGGUCGGAGUGGACACGUUGUUUGCAGAACUCACAACCGUUUUUUUUUUAAAUUCCAUUUGAAUUUUGUCAAUUUAUUCAUCGUCUUGUUUGAAAUGCUCCUGUCAAUGUUGAGUAAGGACGCGCACCGGGUUACUCAUAUAGAAGUAGGACUAUAGUUCCUCAAAGUAAUAGAAAAAUAUAGGACAAUAGUUCCUGUAGGACAAUAGUUCCUGUAGGACAAUAGUUCCUGUAGGACAAUAGUUCCUGUAGGACAAUAGUUCCUGUAGGACAAUAGUUCCUGUAUGACAAUAGUUCCUGUAGGACAAUAGUUCCUGUAGGACAAUAGUUCCUGUAGGACAAUAGUUCCUGUAGGACAAUAGUUCCUGUAGGACAAUAGUUCCUGUAUGACAAUAGUUCUUGUAGGACAAUAGUUCCUGUAGGACAAUAGUUACUGUAGGACAAUAGUUCCUGUAGGACAAUAGUUCCUGUAGGACAAUAGUUCCUGUAGGACAAUAGUUCCUGUAGGACAAUAGUUCCUGUAGGACAAUAGUUCCUGUAUGACAAUAGUUCUUGUAGGACAAUAGUUCCUCAAAGUAUUAGAAAAAUAUUUCCAACUCUCUCCCUUUCAAUAGCCACUCGACAUGAAAGGGAAAAUGUAAUGCUCUGAUCCAGUGGAGAUUUCAUAAAAUACCUGAUUACUUCUUAUCCCAUGCACAAAUAGCCCACAGCUGUGUCUGUCCUGAGCUCACUGGCACGGAUAUUUUAUGCAAUGUUGCAAGUUAGCUAGUGUGCGUUUCGUGCCGACCCAGUUGAUAGUUGAUACAAUGUUUCAAUUUCGCUGUAGACAGGCCAUGCAUAGCCAAUGUGAUUUAUAGGAUAUUUAUUUUAUCAGGAUAUUUUCUACCUGCAGGCUGCAAUGUUUUUAUUUUUUGGCUACUGUAGGCUAUUUUUACAUAGUUGGCAAUGGCAAUAAAAGUUACUUUUAGAUUUGUAUAAUUUUAAUUUAAAUAGAAGGAUAUCCACAGACAAUGAUUUUGAGGUAAAGAUUAUUAUAAAUAAAACUGUUCCACGAAAAUAGACUUAUUUAAUCAAAUGGCGUGCAUAAAGCAUCAUACAAUUUCAGUACAGUAUAGUUGAUUUUAUGAAAACACAUAGGGUGUGCAUAAUAUAUGAAAAAUACAUUGAGAUGAAUCGAUUGACUAAUAUUUUUGUUGUUGUUGGGGACAGUCCUAGGAGAAACAGCCUUAGCCCACAGGAUCUAUGAUCAGUCCAUUGGUCACAGGAUCUAUGAUCAGUCAGUCCAUCGGUCACAGGAUCUAUGAUCAGUCCAUUGGUCACAGGAUCUAUGAUCAGUCAGUCCAUCGGUCACAGGAUCUAUGAUCAGUCCAUUGGUCACAGGAUCUAUGAUCAGUCAGUCCAUCGGUCACAGGAUCUAUGAUUAGUCCACCUGUCUCAUCUCUCUUUUCAUCCUCUACUCCCCCUACACAGUGAAGGAGCUGAUAUCAUCUCCUGGGCCCGGGCUCAUUUGCAUGGAUUUGGCUCUCAAUUUGUGGACUCCUAUAUGCACAGCUAGCUCUAAAUGUCCUAUCUAGACUUCUAUAGUCUGAGGACAGAGUCUAUAUAUUAUGUGUAGCCUCUAAGGUUCAUUACUCUACGAGCUAUUAGAACUGUGACUUUGAUCAGCAGCUCCUUGGUUACCUGCCUUUUUUCCUGUCAUGACCUAGUAGUGCCUCCUUCCCUCAGGUGUUCAUUUAAAUGCUUCCGGCUUCUGUUUGUGUGUGUUGGUGUGAUUCAUCCAACUGUGUUCGUGGCCUAAUAAUAUCUGACGUCCCGGGAUGUCUUCACACACCUGACUGGUGUAUCUUGGCCAUGGGGAAGCUGUGGAGUGUGAAAUGCCUGGAAGGUAACAUGGCAGGUAAGAGCCAAGGUAAAACAUGACAGACUGAGAGACUCGGGCAGAGAGAGCCAUCGGAGGGACAGGGAGAGGAAAAUGUGGAGGGUAUGAAAGUGCAGGUAAUGGCCCUCAGUGUGGAGCCUGAACACUGACAGCCUCAACUCGACCAUGAUGCCUCUUAUUGACCUGCAGAGUGUGGUUGUUUCACUCCUGUGGUGGCCGUAACAGACAUCUUUAUCUCUCUCUCUUUCUCUCUCUCCACAUCUCCUCACUGACUGGAAUCCCUGGAAUCCCUCUCCUCUGUUCCCCUGUCAGAUGGUUCACUUCUCUCCCUUCCUGUUCUCUGCUCCACUGUCUCACUCAUAUCCGUAGGCCAGAUCAUUAUCUGUAAUUGCAGUGUGCUUCAUACAGGAGCUCCUGCCAAAUGGUUGCUUGAAUACUUUUUUCCCCCUUUGUUUUCAAAAGUUGCAGAAAGUGGUUGUUUAUCCCUGGUUGUUUAUCCAGCCAUCUGCACAGCAAGCAGACAAGCUGUUUAUAGAGAAAGGAAGCCUCUUUAUCCCAAGGCAUGAGCAUGCACGCACUCACACACACACACACACACACACACACACACACACACACACACACACACACACACACACACACACACACACACACACACACACACACACAGAGAGACCUGCCCUUCUCAUUAUAGGCCUGCAUGUUAACAGGGAUGUUUGAUAUAUGGUCUGGGCUGCGAUGCGUCCGUCACUGAGCUCUGUGCUCUUCUCAUCACCCCUGGCAACUGUGACAGAACCCCUCAACCCCCAGUGAGAGCCCUGCGUCUGUUCUCUGGGACUCAUUAGGCCACUUCCUUCUAUAAAGUCCUGGUCACUCUGAAGCCCCUGGCCCCUAGAUCUUCCCCUGUACUCUACCGUCUUAACAAACUUAAACCAAAGCAGGCCAAACACAGCCUAUAAAACAACGGACUGAAGACCAGUGCCCCCUGGAUAGGGCAGGCUGUAGGCCUAUACCCUAGGGGCUCCUGUAUGAUUAGCACAGAGCCAGUCUCUGACCUCUGCGAAACAAGUUUACCCAAACCUUUGCUGUAAGAAAGCUCAUUUAAUUUUGUCCUGUUUGUUUCUACUGAACAACACGGCUCUGGUGUGCCAUAUCCAGAUCACUAGAGGACAUUCUGCUGCUGCAGCAAAACGAGAGCAAUGCACACACC
rnacentral:lncRNA from 1 species